rnacentral:rRNA from 1 species
CUCCUACGGGGGGCAGCAGUGGGGAAUAUUGGACAAUGGGGGAAACCCUGAUCCAGCGACGCCGCGUGAGUGAAGAAGUAUUUCGGUAUGUAAAGCUCUAUCAGCAGGGAAGAAAAUGACGGUACCUGACUAAGAAGCCCCGGCUAACUACGUGCCAGCAGCCGCGGUAAUACGUAGGGGGCAAGCGUUAUCCGGAUUUACUGGGUGUAAAGGGAGCGUAGACGGCAGUGCAAGUCUGAAGUGAAAGGCGGGGGCCCAACCCCCGGACUGCUUUGGAAACUGUGCUGCUUGAGUGCCGGAGAGGG